rnacentral:rRNA from 1 species
ACGGGCCUCGGGACGCAGCAGUGAGGAAUAUUGGUCAAUGGGCGGAAGCCUGAACCAGCCAAGUCGCGUGAGGGAAUAAGGCCCUACGGGUCGUAAACCUCUUUUGCCGGGGAGCAAGGGCGGGGACGUGUCCCGGCCCGGAGAGUACCCGGAGAAAAAGCAUCGGCUAACUCCGUGCCAGCAGCCGCGGUAAUACGGAGGAUGCGAGCGUUAUCCGGAUUUAUUGGGUUUAAAGGGUGCGUAGGCGGGCUUUUAAGUCAGCGGUAAAAAUUCGGGGCUCAACCCCGUCCGGUCGUUGAAACUGG